UUUUGAUUAGUUACCAUUAAAUCCUUAACGGUAACUAAUCAAAAAAAGUGGAGGGCACUGCGUGAGGCUGGUUUCACAGAGCAACGACAACCUCCCG
rnacentral:SRP_RNA from 1 species